AUUGAACGCUGGCGGCAUGCUUUACACAUCCAAGUCGAACGGCAGCGCGGGCUUCGGCCUGGCGGCGAGUGGCGAACGGGUGAGUAAUGCAUCGGAACGUGCCCAGUAGUGGGGGAUAGCCCGGCGAAAGCCGGAUUAAUACCGCAUACGACCUGAGGGUGAAAGCGGGGGACCGAAAGGCCUCGCGCUAUUGGAGCGGCCGAUGUCGGAUUAGCUAGUUGGUGGGGUAAAGGCUUACCAAGGCGACGAUCCGUAGCUGGUCUGAGAGGACGACCAGCCACACUGGGACUGAGACACGGCCCAGACUCCUACGGGAGGCAGCAGUGGGGAAUUUUGGACAAUGGGGGCAACCCUGAUCCAGCCAUGCCGCGUGCGGGAAGAAGGCCUUCGGGUUGUAAACCGCUUUUGUUCGGGAAGAAAUCCUCUGGGCUAAUACCCCGGGGGGAUGACGGUACCGGAAGAAUAAGCACCGGCUAACUACGUG
rnacentral:rRNA from 1 species